UCUGGGGUUUCGGGCAGCCGUCAUACGCCGUUUAAAACAAAAAAAGAGAGAAGCAGUGAUAUUUAGAUUAUUAAAUUAUUCUAAACAAUUACUAAUUGAAUACUUAUAAAUAGCUAGUGGACAGUAAGACAAAUUAGUGGACAGUGGCGUACUGGAUUUUCAACGGAAUUGCAAAUCUGAUUCCUCUUCCAUGGACAAUAAAUUAAAGUUCCCUACAAAUUUGCCAUGGGUCGCUUGCCAUCUUCCCGACUUCCUGGAUGGGGACAAAACUAAAUGUGGCUUCCUCUGGAAUUCCUGGAUGAGAUGACAAAACACUGCAAAGCUUCUACAGACGAUCGAUUGAAGUCCAAGCGGCACUGACAUUCCGCUGCGCAAAAUGGAACACGGAAUACGAGGUCAAACACGAAUUAUGCAUCAGCCUAGGAAAUAAUAUUUGCGAUGCCCUGACCGAGACAUGCUAUGCGAUUUACCCAGCAUCGCAGGACAAUUGACGGUGAAUUGGCGCGUCCGUAUACAAAAGUCCUGACUAUCACCAAUCCCAAAAACUUCCAAAUAUCAAUAUGCUGCUGUAGCAGAAUGGAACCGUGGUUGCGCGUUGGUGUGCUAAAACCGUUACCGUCAAUUUAAUAUAAGCGUUUUUAAUGUUUAUUUAAAUAUAGACAGGAUAUAGACAAAAAAAUUAGAGUAUACAUU